GGGAAGGGAAGGGUAGAAAACUAAGAAUGGAGACUCCUUAGUUCACCUCCUUGGGGUUCUCUGGUCAUUUAUGUAUUUGUGCUUCUCCAACCAAGAUAAAAAGAGGAAGAAAGAGGUUGAUUGAUCUUGGGUUAUGAAAAGAUUUCUUAGUAAGGAAGGGGUCAGAAAACUCAGUGGGCAGCCAGAUCAUGCCUUUUAUCAGUAUGAUUUGGAAGACAUCCAAAGAUAAACUGAGGUGUUCUUUACAACAUAAGGACUGGACUCUAGGGCUUCUCUAAGCAGUCUGGACUCAGAUUUCUCAUCUGUGAAUGGAAGAAAUCCACCACUGUAUCCUGAAAAUAUUAAACUUAUGAGAAAAGAGGUAUUGGGACAACAUCAACUUACUGAUGAGAGGCAUAAAGAAGGCCCCUUCUAAUUCGGCUUGGAAAUCCAACUCCAAGACUCCAUCAGAUCGUGUGUUUUCUAAUUGCACUUUCAUCAUACAUAUGCCCUUCUUAUGUGUCCCACAGUAAAGCAAAGAUGGGGACUGCAUUGAUUCCUUUGUAAAGGCUCCUCUUCCAAUCAUGAAGAAUGUUCUCUUAUAAUCUAAACACCUCUGAAAUGCUUUAGAUUCUAAUUUACU
rnacentral:lncRNA from 1 species